GACUCUGUGGCCCAAUGGAUAAGGUGUUGGUCUCCGGAAUUAGAUAUUUUGGAUUCGAUUUUCAGCAGAGUCA
rnacentral:tRNA from 1 species